rnacentral:rRNA from 1 species
GAAGGUGAAGUCGUAACAAGGUCUCCGUUGGUGAACCAGCGGAGGGAUCAUUACUGAGUUUACGCUCUAUAACCCUUUGUGAACAUACCUAUAACUGUUGCUUCGGCGGGUAGGGUCUCCGCGACCCUCCCGGCCUCCCGCCUCCGGGCGGGUCGGCGCCCGCCGGAGGAUAACCAAACUCUGAUUUAACGACGUUUCUUCUGAGUGGUACAAGCAAAUAAUCAAAACUUUUAACAACGGAUCUCUUGGUUCUGGCAUCGAUGAAGAACGCAGCGAAAUGCGAUAAGUAAUGUGAAUUGCAGAAUUCAGUGAAUCAUCGAAUCUUUGAACGCACAUUGCGCCCGCCAGCAUUCUGGCGGGCAUGCCUGUUCGAGCGUCAUUUCAACCCUCAAGCUCUGCUUGGUGUUGGGGCCCUACAGCUGAUGUAGGCCCUCAAAGGUAGUGGCGGACCCUCCCGGAGCCUCCUUUGCGUAGUAACUUUACGUCUCGCACUGGGAUCCGGAGGGACUCUUGCCGUAAAACCCCCCAAUUUUCCAAAGGUUGACCUCGGAUCAGGUAGGAGUACCCGCUGAACUUAAGCAUAUCAAUAAGCGGAGGA